GCUGAAUGUGGGGAUAAUUUAUCUUUGUGUUGUAGCUAACGCGUUAAGCACUCCGCCUGGGGACUACGGUCGCAAGACUAAAACUCAAAGGAAUUGACGGGGACCCGCACAAGCGGUGGAGCAUGUGGUUUAAUUCGAUGCUACGCGAAAAACCUUACCACUUUUUGACAUGAAGGUCGUAUCCCUCCUAACAGAGGGAGUCAGUUCGGCUGGACCUUACACAGGUGCUGCAUGGUUGUCGUCAGCUCGUGUCGUGAGAUGUUGGGUUAAGUCCCGCAACGAGCGCAACCCUCAUUCUUAGUUACCAACAGGUAAUGCUGGGCACUCUAAGGAAACUGCCAGUGAUAAACUGGAGGAAGGUGGGGAUGAUGUCAAAUCAGCACGGCCCUUAUAAGGUGGGCUACACACGUGCUACAAUGGCAACUACAAUAAGUUGCAAGACCGCAAGGUUUAGCUAAUCUAUAAAAGUUGUCUCAGUUCGGAUUGUUCUCUGCAACUCGAGAACAUGAAGUCGGUAUCGCUAGUAAUCGUGGAUCAUCACGCCACGGUGAAUACGUUCUCGGGUCUUGUACACACUGCCCGUCACGCCAUGGGAAUUGGCUUAACUCGAAGCUGGUGUGCUAACCGAAAGGAAGCAGCCAU
rnacentral:rRNA from 1 species